ACAAAGGUAAUGAUGGGAAGAGUAAGUUGAUUGAAUUGUUUCAGAGAGCCGGUUGGAUUAUAUAUAAUCCUUGGUGCGAGCCGGUACGCUAGAUUGACUGAACAUGGCCCCUGAACUUUGCGGGUGAGGUUUUACUAAGCCUGCGACGGCAGCCUACGUUAUAAGGCCGGGUGAUGCGCAACGUUGCAAGUCACUUAUAGAGAUUUUUGCAGUGAUGCAAAUGUAAAUUUGGGUGGUAACACGAGGUCUUCGUCCCAUGG
rnacentral:ncRNA from 1 species